UACACAAGCCUGGCCCACAAAAGUUUUGGAAGGUCGAAGAGGCUAGAACAUUACGGGUGGAUGGAGCCAGAGCAUAUCUAAUAAUGCACAGCUAAGACUUCAUGACAGAACAGUUAGAUGAAUACAGCAGCGAAACAGACCAUUGCUGCAUCCUGGAAAAAGUGUUCAAUUCCCAUAAUUAUGUUCCGGCUCAAAAUGAACUGGUUUAUGAUUAAUGAGAGAAUGUUGAGUGUUGCUGCAGAUAAAUAUGAUGUCUACACCAAAAUCUGGACGCCUUGGAUAUUAUAUACCAGGUUAUGAUGCAAAUGUCUGGCGAGAGCUUUAUGGUUUAUUUAAUUGUUUUGGGUUUUUUUCUUUGGUUUUUUUUUUCUGAUUGCAAGAUUGUAACAAGGGACAAGGUUAGAUGGUAUUGAAACCUACAAGAUGGUACUUUGUGUAGUCAUAGGCACUGAAUUAGGAGCAUUAAUGUAUCUUUAUAGUAAACACGGAAACGGUUAUUUAAGUUUGUUAGUUUAAUUUUUUAUUGAUAUGCAAUUUCCAAAGUCAGAAUGUUUUGAUUUAUGCUGUAUAGUUGAGAGAAAUUAUGGACACUAAAGUUUUUUUUUUUCUUGGCCCUCCGGGUACUUGAAUGUGAUGACAUUGUCCUCCUCUGCGUAGGAGAAUAUUCAUUUUCUGAAAAUAGAAAUAUAUGUAAAAACCGGAUAUGACGAAAGUUAAUACUGUAUUGUUAUCUAAUAAAAAAGUUUUAAAAGAAAAAAAGAUAAAAAAAAAAUUACCAAAACCCACACGAAGUCCCAAGAAACUGCUGCCUGAUUGUUUUCUAGGCCUUGGGACCCCACAUGGGGAGACAGUAGGAUGCUGGGGACUGUGGUCUCAAGACUACCUUUCUAUUUUAAAAGAGGGCUAUUCUUCCCUGUAAAACCACAAAUCCACCAGUACCAUGUAACAAAACGAGUUAAAAUGAGAAAUUUUGAAUGCGGUUAAGGUAGGCUACUUGUUCAAUCGAUACAAUGUUCCAAAGCAGUAGAUUUUUCCCCAAAUAUAAAUCUAGGGACCAGGGCCCAAUAUUAAUUUGCUUAGGUGGCCAUCAUCACUAAUAGCAGCCCUAACGUAUGAUAUAUUGUAUAAAAGCACCUAACAUCUCCUAAGCAAACUGGUACUGACCAUUCCAGUCUAAAUGAUUUAAAACUGAUUUAGUACACAUGCAUUAUUUCACCUAAAAUGUGUCGCUAGCAUGUCUGUGCUGCACUUACUAACUCCACAUUGCCUUACUGGAAAAGUUACUUUACACACUUUUAACAUGACUAAAACCUGAUUCAGUUCAAAUGCAUAUUAUUUUCCAUCAUAUGUGUUCCUAUAGUAGCUGUGCUGCACUUACCUCUCAUCUAAAGCUGCAUCUGAUAAUCUUGUAACUGUCACUAGUGUUUCCAACAGUCACUUUGUAGUUGAAAUACAGCUACAAUCUGCAGGUUGGAAAGCCCUGCUCUAAAGUGUUACUGACUCCACAUUUGAAAAGUUACUUUACAUACAUUAAACAUGAUUUAAACAUGAUUUAGUACACAUACAAUGCCAUUUCCCCUAAUAUAUGCCUCUAGAGCAUCUGUGCUGCCCUUACCUCUGUUCUAAAGCUGCAUCUGACAAUCUUGUUACUGUCUUUAACUGUCACUUUGUAGUUCAAUUACUGCAAUCUGCAGGUUGGAAAGCCCUGCUAUAAAGUCUUACUGAUUCCAGCUUGUCUCACUGGAGAUAUCACUAUACACAUUUUAUACAUUAAAACAUGAUUUAGUACAAGUGCAAUGUCAGGGUGCAUAGUAGGUAUGGUCACACUGCACAUGGAUGCUUUUAGAUCUGGGUUGGUGGGACAGCCAUGGGCUUUUGUUACAAUACAAGCUUUUCCCAGUGUCCAAAUCCACAAAUUGGGGAUUUAACUAAAAAUUACAAAACCCUAAGACUAAAUGGCACAUCACCAAUCCAUCAACUUUUUGAUAAGAGCCACCCCCUUGAGGUAAGAAAAUUUGGUUGUGUCCUUACCUGGCAAAACAUCAUUAUGUUGAGCUUGCAGACUUAUUUGCUGUUACUGAUGGGAGAUAAAAUUCUAUUCCCUUCACUGCCUUCUCUUGCCAACAUUCAGUUUUUCCUACAGCUGGUACCAGUGCAUGAUGGGAAAGUGUUUAGCCAAUCAGUAAGGUGUCCUUAGACAUAUGGUGGAUGGAGCUUCACAGUCAAUACCAGGACACUAGGAAAGAGAGCUUAACCAGUAAGGAAGUUGGGCUAAACCACUAUCUGAAAUAAGAAGGGGGGCAGUUAAGCUGUGAGUGCAGAAGUGUCAGAAUCAUUGCAAACAGAAUUCAUGUUGUUGAUGUCAUUGCUAGCCUGAUAGGUAGUUGUUAUUGCAUGCUGAUAGCUAAUCCCACUCUAUGGAGAGCCCAUAUAUGAACUGCUGGUAAACAUGUUGAGAGGUUUACAGUGUAGUUACAUGUCAUAGGCAGUGCUAUCAAGUGGCACAGAUUUAAUAUGAUGGCCAUUUUGAUCUGAUUAUGGAAAUUAGAAAAAACACCAGUUUUCAGGUACCUGUUUAUUCCUAUAGAUAGAUGGUAGGUUGAAGCUCAGCACCUUUGAAAACCCCAUGGUACAUCGAGUAGUAUAAGUAAAGGAUCUAUUAAUGAAAAUGCUCGGGACCUUGAGUUUUCCACUUAAGGGAGCUUUCUGUAAUAUGACCCACCAUACCGUAAUCCUUUACGUAAAAAUGUUAUGUUCCCAAAAA